GUGCCUCCACCCACGCCGGCGUCGGCGGGCGUAUUUCGCCUCACAGUAGGUCGCCGCGACCCGUUGCUUUUGGGGACGUCGAAGGCCCGGACGGAUUGGUACCCUACCGGCUGGGGAUGCGGCUUCGGCUUCUCCUCUUGUCCGGUGGGCGAAACCGCCGGUGUCCUGGCUGCCCUGCGACGGUCGUAGAGACGAGCCCUCCCCUUCGGGGGGGCGGCUCUCGCGGCGUGCAAAAGGUCGGUGAUCCACCCGACCCGUCUUGAAACACGGACCAAGGAGUCUAACAUGUGUGCGAGUCAGUGGGCGCACUAAACCCAGAGGCGUAAUGAAAGUGACACGGGUUCGGCUGUCGCCUCGUGUGGCAGCCGGACUCAGGGCCGAUCCCUCACCGGUUGCCCUCGCUUCUCUCCCGCGUCUCGGUAAGCCGGGUGAGCUAUUUUCCCCGGCCGCUGCUGCGGGGCUCGGGGGGAGGCGGGGUUGCGAUGGUGUCCGUAAAAAAGAGCCUGCUGUUGCAGGGGGGCGCAGGCCCGGGACUUGCCAGGACGCCGCGAGACUGUCACUUUGCUGUGAGGCUCUCGGGCCGAUCAGCGGGUCAUGCGUGCAGUCGGCAAGUACCAUGAGCAGACAUGUUGGGACCCGAAAGAUGGUGAACUAUGCCUGGCCAGGAUGAAGCCAGAGGAAACUCUGGUGGAGGUCCGUAGCGAUUCUGACGUGCAAAUCG
rnacentral:rRNA from 1 species